GUUUUUGUUUUUGGUUUGGACACUAUCCACUCCCUACUCUCUCUACUUUGCAGAAGCAGAGUAACACACUUUGCAACGUUCUGAAUUCUGAUUAUUAUGUAAAAUCAGAGACACAGAAACAGAGAAAGAGAAAGAGUAGUGCCAUGAAACAAACAACAAACAAUGCAACAAACACAAACACCUUAUCUGCUUUGAACAUGAACAUGCCUCACACACAACAAGAGGAACAAGAAGAAGAAGAAGAAGAAGAAGAGGAUGAUGAUUCUUCCUCCUUCUUCGAUGCCCUUCUCUGCGAAGAAGAGAAGAACAUUCUCGAUGAUGAUGAUGACAACCACCAAAGCAGCCUUCUCAUGGACAAUCGGGAACACGACCACAUCCUCUCUCUUCUCUCCAAAGAGACACACACUCACACCAUUCAUGCUUUUCUCGAGGCUCCACGAAACGACGCCGUCUCCUGGAUUUCCAAAGUUAGCUCCUUCUAUGGCUUCACUCCUUUGACCACUGUACUUGCAGUCAACUACUUCGACAGGUUCGUCACAAGCCUAACGUUUCAGAGGGACAAGCCAUGGAUGACUCAGCUCACUGCUCUUGCCUGUUUAUCUCUUGCUGCCAAAAUGGAAGAGAUCCAUGUCCCACUUCUCUUGGACCUCCAAGUGGAGGAACCCAAGUUCUUGUUCGAAGCCAAGACUGUUCAGAGAAUGGAGCUUCUUGUGUUGUCUACACUCCAAUGGAGGAUGAACCCUGUCACCCCAAUUUCCUUCUUUGAACACAUUGUUAGAAGGAUUGGUUUGCAUUGGGAGUUCUUAUGGAGGUGCCAGCGUGUUCUUCUUUCUGUCAUUCCCAAUUCAAGGUUCAUGGGUUAUCUCCCUUCUACAUUGGCUGCUGCUACCAUGAUCCAUGUUAUUAAAGAGAUUGAACCGAUAAAUGCAAUGGAAUACAUAAAUCAACUCAUGGGGUUACUCAAGACUAGUGAGGAACAAGUGAAUGAGUGCUACAAACACAUAGUGAAACAAUUGGUUUUGAAUCAUGAAGGCAUUUACAAUGUUUGCCAAAAACGCAAACGGAUAUCCGAACCAAGUAGCCCCGGGGGUGUAAUUGAUGCAUCAUUCAGUUGUGACAGCUCAAAUGAUUCAUGGACAGCAGCAUCUUUGAUCUCUCCUUCACUAUCAAUGGAGCCAAUGUUUAAGAGGAGCAGAGCUCCGGACCAGCAGAUGCGAUUCGCCACAGUAAAUCGAGUGUCUAUCAAUGUUAUAGAUAGUCCUCCUUAAUAAUAACUUUAACUUUGUAUUCUAAUUCCAACAUGAAUAAGAUCUAGAUAUUGGAGAUUGUUAACAGAUAAAGAAAGAUGGCUGAAAUUUCUUUAGUCAUACAUUGCCAUUGAUGGAGCAAACCAUACCAUGCAUGAAUGUGUUUUGACAAUAACAUACCUAAUUUACAAAUCUGUUUAUAUCUGAGGAUCAGGGAGAUGGGGGAACUCCAUCAUUGCUUGUUUUGUGGAUUUAUGUCACAUUAAAGUGAUGAUUUGAGCCAAAACAAAAAAAAUGCAUUAGGCAAAGAUAUGUAAGGAAAGAAUGAUUAAGAGGAA